UUUUUUUUUUACGUUAAAAAACUCACGGUACAAGAUCGGGAUAUAUGUCGGUGGGGUGGAGUGUCUUCUGAGGAAAAAUUGUUUUUCUUUUUUCAUUCUUUCCUUUUUUGCAACUCCAAAAAGUCACCCGCAAAAAACAGCAGCUCGAUCAAAAACUUUUGUCGUUUCAGCAAAGGGGAGGCAGGGUAAAUUAGAGAGAGAGAAAGGGAAGCCGAAAGAAAGAGGGAGAAGGAGAUAGACAAUAGAGCGAGGACCACUCUUUUUCUCUCGGUUUGGAUACCGUAAAAAAGUAUCUCGCUAUUUGCUUCUCCUUCAUCCUUCUUUUUUUCUCUCCCUCACUCUCAAUGUCAACAUCCACCCGCGCAUUCAUCCACGCAAAAAUCACAAAAUUCCGCGUAAAACGCGUGCGUAAAUACGUUUCGACAGCCGUUGCCGAGACGCGGUGGUUGAGAGGUAGCCGUGCCGUUUAUUUGAUUAACGAAUCGCGUGGUCCCGUACCUGUCGAUGAUCGAGUAUAGUCGGAAAACUGUCGAUGACAUCUAAAAUGUCUAAUUCAAACUGGCGGAACUAGCUGGAUCGAGCUAAAGGAAACGAAUUGUUAUAAAUCAUGCGCAUUGUUGGGACAUAACAAGUAAUAUAAUUUACCAAGUAUCAAGUAAAGAAAAAAAAAAAUUGGAGAAAACAAUCAGGAACAUCAACGGACAGCCGAAGCUCUUGAGACUUUUAACAUUACGCCUACGAAAGGAACGUUACUUCAACCGUUGCUUAGUGUAGUUCAGAUACGAAAAACAAAAAGAAGAUGAAAACCACAUUUACAUAUACAAUGUAUAAUUAAUACCUUUUCUAAAUACCCAUGUAAGAAACAUGUGCGUGUCCCUCGAGAUAACAGAUAAAAUAUAUAGAGAGAAUACUGUAUGGCAUUUUAAAGUAGAGUAUUUCGUACAUAUCGAAGAAUUAUUUGAAUAGUAAAAGAGUACUAUGUUUGACUUACAGAGACAGAAGUUGGAAACGGAUUGAAGUCUCGCAUGCAGAGAGCGAAGGAAACGGCCGUCGAGCGGUUACGUCAUUCCAACGAAUUCGAUUACAUAUGAAAAUUAAUGAAACCCGACGCUCCCGGUCCACAUACGUCCAGAUUGUCCGUUUCGUUAUACGUAGUCAGCGCAGCAUACGGUACAGCUAAAGGCGUACUUCGCUAGGAUACAACGAUCGAUAUUCCGAGGAUUUUACAGAUAUUUCUCGCCGGGCGACGAUUGCUUUCAGCGAUACUCCUCAUCGGCAGAAAUUUACCGAACAUAUCAAUAAACAGUGACACCUAUUUGAGAGCAGUUAACGAUU